rnacentral:rRNA from 1 species
AACGAACGCUGGCGGCGUGGAUAAGACAUGCGAGUCGGACGGGAUUACUUUUGGUAGCAAUACCGAAAGUGAUUCAGUGGCGAACGGGUGCGUAACACGUGGGCAAUCUACCGAGAAGUGGGGGAUAGCUCGCCGAAAGGCGAAUUAAUACCGCAUGUGAUCAGAGGCGACAUCGCUUCGAAAUCAAAGGUGGCGCAAGCUACCGCUUUUUGAGGAGCCCGCGGCCUAUCAGCUUGUUGGUGAGGUAACGGCUCCCCAAGGCUUUGACGGGUAGCUGGUCUGAGAGGACGACCAGUCACACUGGGACUGAGACACGGCCCAGACACCUACGGGUGGCAGCAGUCGAGAAUUUUUCUCAAUGGGGGAAACCCUGAAGGAGCGACGCCGCGUGGAGGAUGAAGGUCUUCGGGUUGUAAACUCCUGUCAUUUGGGAACAAGGCUCCGAAGAGUAACUGUUUCGGAGUUGAUAGUACCAGAAGAGGAAGAGACGGCUAACUCUGUG